rnacentral:lncRNA from 1 species
AUGAGUGGAACAGUCAAGACUGGAUGGAUCCCAGGCCUCCUGAUGUCCAAGCUAAUGCUUAUUCCAUCCCUGCCCCCACAUUUCCUGCUCCACAAUUGCUUCUCCAUUGCCUUUUUCACGCAUUCCCUCAGUUGUGUCCCCACUCCAAAUCAGGCAGUCAUCUUCACUGACGUCUUGUCUAGUAGACUCACUUUAGACCUCCUAAACUCAUCAAGGGCUCAAGAAGCUGGUUCCCUCUUGUCUGCUGUCAUGGAAUGCAAAUAAACACUUCGCCCGGCCAACUCUUCUUCCUUUCUAACAGCCAGCACCCAAGAACUCAAGAUCCCGAGGUAAGAAAGUACUUGGGAGGUCACCAGAUCCCCUCUCUGUCUUCAGGUAAAACUGUGCCCAAACUGGUUCCAACUACUUGAAGUGGUCUUCAAGAGCCAGAGAUCAGAUCAUCUCUUCCAAUGUCUCCCUAAGACGCCUCACACAGGCCCUUAUCAUGUCACUUGUUCAUUGAUUCCUUUCUGUUUCUGUGACCCUCAGCCCAUGUUAAAUCAAGUCAUGAGCUCAUCCUGAAGAAAAACUGUAGCCAGUGGGAAUGGCUAAGGUCAGGCUAGAGCCAAGAGGAUAGCCUAAAUGACCUCAGCAAAGCUCAGCAGAUGCCAGGAGUUCAGACUCUGGCAGCAAAUUCAUUCCUGGCCAGUAUCCUUCUUUCUCUUCCUCCCCGAACCAGAUAUCCCCCUCUAGACAACUGUGUCCUCCUCAGUGAAAAAGCUGUGUCCAGAAUGCCACUAACUUGCCCACACCCAAGUAGGACACCUGAGGCAGAAGGGAAAUAUGUAGUCAGGCUCAAAGAAACUUGUUAGAAAAAGGAGGGAAUUUUUUCCCCUCAAGGCUAUAUGUAUUCCCUCAGUCCUAUAAAUAACCCAUUUCAGAUAAAGCAAGUGUUGGGAAUAUCACAGACACUGAAUCCUAAAUAUCAUGCUUCUUUCCUUUACCUUCCACUUACUUACUCCUUUUACCAACAUACCUCCCACCUGUAAUUUACUUCCAGUGGAAAGUAGCACCUGAAAACAAGGGAAGCAUAUUGGAUGGCUGCCAUUUGCUAAUGGUUCUUUAGGGGACUCCUCCCCUGGCUCUCUGACCAGAGAAAACUCUCCAUCUGAGAAAUAAAGAAGUUCUACAUGUUCA